AUUGAACGCUGGCGGCAGGCCUAACACAUGCAAGUCGAGCGGCAGCGGAAAGUAGCUUGCUACUUUGCCGGCGAGCGGCGGACGGGUGAGUAAUGUCUGGGAAACUGCCUGAUGGAGGGGGAUAACUACUGGAAACGGUAGCUAAUACCGCAUAACGUCGCAAGACCAAAGAGGGGGACCUUCGGGCCUCUUGCCAUCAGAUGUGCCCAGAUGGGAUUAGCUAGUAGGUGGGGUAACGGCUCACCUAGGCGACGAUCCCUAGCUGGUCUGAGAGGAUGACCAGCCACCCUGGAACUGAGAAACGGUCCAGACUCCUACGGGAGGCAGCAGUGGGGAAUAUUGCACAAUGGGCGCAAGCCUGAUGCAGCCAUGCCGCGUGUAUGAAGAAGGCCUUCGGGUUGUAAAGUACUUUCAGCGGGGAGGAAGGUGUUGAGGUUAAUAACCUCAGCAAUUGACGUUACCCGCAGAAGAAGCACCGGCUAACUCCGUGCCAGCCGCCGCCGUAACAC
rnacentral:rRNA from 1 species